rnacentral:snoRNA from 3 species
UGGCAGUGAUUUGAUUCUAUCCGCACUUCUGAUUAAUCCAUGAAGUACAAGGGAAAACAUGGUUGAAUUUCUUAAUAUGAGCCA